AAAAAUCCUAAAAGAAUAACGGAAUACUUUACCAUACACUUUUUCAAAUGUUGUUUUUAACAUUUCUGCAUUUGGUUACUUCACGUACACCUCCCAUGUUAUCGACCUUUAAAUCAGCCAAUGAAGAUUGAAAGAGUGCAAAAAAUUAACCAAAUUCUGCUUCUAUCUUUUGAACUCAUCAAAUUCUGCUUCCACUUUUUUUGCUAUAACUAAACAAGGCAACCUUUUCCAAAGAUGUUAUCACCCGUCAUUGAGCCACAUUGUUCCUCGCGGUAAUAAAAGUGAUGAGAACUCCCGAUCACCAUAUCCAAGCGCACUCAGUCAACUUGGAUGUGGAAUUAGUAAUAAUGUUUUGUCACACAUUCAUAAUGGAGGCAACAUUGGUGGUAAUGGGGGUUUUAGAGCGCAUUUUGGAUGGAAUAAAUGGUUCCCUGCUGUCAUAUUACCUGAUAGUGUUGUACCGUUGUUAUCUAGAAAGAUUUCAAGCGUAGCUGGUGAAGGAUUUGAUAAUGCUCAACAUCCUCAACAUCAUGGUGACAACAAUAUUAGCAUUUUAACUAGUGAAAAUGUUGAAGUAGUGUCCUCACAAGUUCCUGCCAUUAAUGAGGUAGCUAUCGCAGCUGCUGAUUCUGCCUUCCCAGUUGCUGCACUGCAGUACUUGAUUGAUGCUGUGCAGACAUUGACUGGAUUGAAUUGUGCAACACGCUGAGAAGCUUGAAAGGACAUCCGUCAGCAGGUGACUUUAAGAGAUACUCAAGGGACUUUGUUAUUCUUGUAGUGCCCCUUACAAUGUAUUUUUCUAAGGUAUUUCACUAUUUCCGAUGGCCUUCAUUAAAUGUUAACAAGACUUGUACAAAGUUUUGUAGAGAAAUAAGUAAAAAUAGUUAAUCAUAGUUGUUUUAUCUCAUUUCAUAUGACUGAGAUCAGUGUUUGCAUGCUCCUCCACGCCACCAGGUUACCCCACUUAUUGUUGGCUCAUUGGCUGUACUUUGUAUAUGCUUUUUCUAAUGGUGAAGCCUAAAUUUUUUAUUUCAUGUAAGCUGUUUUUUUUUUUUUGGACUUAUUAUUAGCCAAGGGUUCUUAAAAAGAAAAAAGGGAACAAAGAUUAGAAAAGAACAUACAGGAAAGCCAUCGGCUUGUUGCACGAAUUGAACCCAAGCAUGAAAUCAAGUGUGGAGCUCUAUUUGGAGUAAAAUCCAUCACUAUAAUAGCUUCUCGAAUGCUUGAAAGAAUUGUGCAAAGAUACUGUCAAGAAGUCUUUUAAGGCAGUCCCUGUCUACCAGUCCCUUCCCAUUUCCAAUGCGGCUAGCAUUAUUCUGAUGUAAAACCCCACGUUAUGUGAUUCAGUGAUUGAGUUCGGGUUCGCAUAUUGAUUUCUCUAAAUGCAUACCUGUGCUCCCUUGUGUAUGAAUUUCUGAUUUAAUUCCCUAAUAUUGAGGAUGACAAUAUUAUUGCAGGCAUUCUUCUGUUAUUUGAUAACCUCCAGGCUGUUUGCGUUGUCAUGUGGAGCAGCUAUUAAGCGCUCAGAAGCGAGAAAGUUCUUGGAUCUUCCAAUAGCACCCGCCCCUAAAUCUUCUCCUCAUACAUCCACCUCACAGUCCCAAUCCGAGUCUUCCUCAGAUUCAGCAAUUCAACAAGAUAACACGAACAAGGAACCUAAACAGCCUGAUGAGCCAUGAAGUUGCAUAUUUCUCUAAUUUCUGUCCAGUACAGGCUAGCAAUUGUGAAACAAUCAGAUAAAAGAUCAGAUAAUCUUGAGGCAUAGGUCCAGUACUCCAUUCCUGUUCCUGUGUUCAAGUUAUAAGGCCUCAGGAACACAUUUCUCAUUGCAGUUAUUUAGAGUUAUGAUAUUUUGUCAUUUAGAGGGAGUAUGUUAGACGAUAAGGUCAGACAGAUGUAAUAGAAGACCUCACAUGCAAUGUGUUAUGGGAAUCCAUUCAAGUGAACGUAUGUAAUUGAAGCCGUAUUCUGUAAGGGAAGGUAGAAAUGCGCAUGUAAACUGUGUGCCUACUAAAAGGCUUCAAUCUAUUGUAUAAUAUUAUCGAGAUUACAGCAUGAAUCGGAUCCUUGCUCUACACGAUGUCAUGAAAAUGAAGUAUGUAUAUUUGCUAUAUUAAUGAUAUUCCAUUAUCCUUCGUUCUAAUCAUUUACUUGUACUUCAUAUGAAUUAUGUGCAUAUGCUUUCUU